ACGUCCCACCCCUUCCGCAGCAUUUUCUCCCUUUUUAAAAAAAAACAAAACAAAAAACAUUUGUUUACUCGUUUGUUUGUUUAUUCAAUUAUUCCUUAACUGGCAAUUUACUUAAAAAGAAAUAAAAUGAAGUAUUUAGACACACAGAUGGUCCUGAGUUCAGAUCCCAGCAUCGCCCCUGCUGGACCCUCGUGCACGCCUCUGGACACAGAAACAGAAGUAUGGGGUGAUGAGCGCCAUGUGGACGGCAGGACUCUCCGGAACAUUCUGGAGAUUUUAGCUAAUAAAACACACAACCUUUCCACCAAAACUCUUCCAGAAGGAGGUGAAUUCUGUUCCAGGAUGUUCCCUGGAGAAGCACGGCUUAUUGUUUACUCGACUUCUACGCUCACCGGAAGAGAAAUGCUAAAAUGAGCUGAAGACUGGAGCUGGAGAAGGAUCCUCAACAAACAUCCACACAACAUCCUGAACGUUCAGGAGUGAUCCUGAAUCCCACAGAAGAUCUGUGGACCAAGUGAGAGCCGUGUGAGAAGCCCUCAGACCUGGGAGAGGUCAACAAAUCCAUCAUUCCAGACAACACCACCAACAAGCAUGUGAGCUUCUGACCUCCUGAAAGCUGGAAGACCUCCUGCACAGCUUACCUACUCAAUUUAAAAAGAGACACUAACUGGAGAUGAACAGCAACGGGACAUGUGGAGCUGUGUGUGUGUUUGAUGCUACUGCUGUGCUCACAUUACAAGCUACAAAAACCCCAAACACACAGUGAUUCACUUCAGUGUCAAUCGAUUCAGAGUCAUUUUCUCAUUGGACUCACCCGAGUGUGUGUUCACCUGAAUACAGAACCCAAGAAGGAGAACACACCAGGGUUUCACUCAAACACAAUUAACACACUCUCUCAUACACACACACCGGUCUGAUACACACCGACUGUUCACACACCUCUCUCACACACACCGCUCUGAUACACACUGACUGUUCUCACACACACACACCGCUCUGAUACACACUGACUGUUCUCACACACACACACACCGCUCUGAUACACACCGACUGUUCACACACCUCUCACACACACCACUCUGAUACACACUGACUGUUCUCACACACACACCGCUCUGAUACACACCGACUGUUCACACACACACACCACUCUGAUACACACCGACUGUUCUCUCACACACACACCGCUCUGAUACACACCGACUGUUCUCUCACACACACACCGCUCUGAUACACACCAACUGUUCACACACCUCUCUGAUACACACCGACUGUUCACACACCUCUC